rnacentral:tRNA from 1 species
GAGAGUAUAGCUCAGUGGUAAAGCACAUGCUUAGCAUGCACGAGGUCCUGGGUUCAAUCCCCAGUACCUCCA